rnacentral:rRNA from 1 species
AAAGGAGUGAUCCGGCAGAGGAUGGACAUGCGGCGCAUUAGCUAGUCGGCGGGGUAACGGCCCACCGAGGCUACGAUGCGUAGGGGUUCUGAGAGGAAGGUCCCCCACACUGGUACUGAGACACGGACCAGACUCCUACGGGAGGCAGCAGUGAGGAAUAUUGGUCAAUGGGCGGAAGCCUGAACCAGCCAAGUCGCGUGAGGGAAGACGGUCCUAUGGAUUGUAAACCUCUUUUGCAGGGGAGCAAGGCGCGGUACGUGUACCGCGAAGGAGAGUACCCUGAGAAAAAGCAUCGGCUAACUCCGUGCCAGCAGCCGCGGUAAUACGGAGGAUGCGAGCGUUAUCCGGAUUUAUUGGGUUUAAAGGGUGCGCAGGCGGACUGUUAAGUCAGCGGUAAAAUGUCGGUGCUCAACACCGGCCGGCCGUUGAAACUGGCAGCCUUGAGUGAGCGAGAAGUAUGCGGAAUGCGUGGUGUAGCGGUGAAAUGCAUAGAUAUCACGCAGAACUCCGAUUGCGAAGGCAGCAUACCGGCGCUCAACUGACGCUCAGGCACGAAAGCGUGGGUAUCGAACAGGCUUAGAUACCCUGGUAGUCCACGCAGUAAACGAUGAAUGCUCACUGUCCGGGCCG